UCCCUCUGUAUAAAGGCUGUGGGUGUCUCUGCCUGGCUGAGCUCAUUGCACGGAUGUGCAAUGUGAAGUGGGAGCAUUCCUGCAGCCUCCUUUCAGCUUCGAAGUAACAUAAUGAAAACCUCAUGGAUGCUGAAGAAACUGGAGCGUCUCAAGCCUGAUAUGUGAAACCAAGAAUCUGGAAAACCUUGGAGGCUCUAUCAAGACUCCUUCCAGCAAGCGGGGCUCUGAGUGAAGAAGGGAUGUAUCUUGGACUGUCUCAAGAGCAAGAGAUGGGAAUCAUUUUUCACUUCUCUCCAUUCUGAGAGCUGAACAAGUGUUUUCCUUCUGCUACAGACAGAAGGCGGGCACUGAUGCCCAUCAUGUACCAACCACAAUUCACUUUCCUGCCAUGCUGAAGAAGAACAACUCUACGACUUCCACGUAAGAAGAUCGGAGCUGAAGAAAAGUCCUUCUUGUCAAAUUUGUUAUUGGAUCUCAUUCCACCAUUUUCAGAGAACAGAGAAACACGAAACCAAUCUGUUUUCAGGUGCUGGUUUAGGUGAGCUGGAGAAGUUGAACAAUGCCUGUGAUUUCUGGGCAGCUUGUCUAGGUUUCACAGAAGCCCCAGGUUGCAGAGCAAAGGCGCUUGUGUCGGGGUAUUGCUUUCAUUGUUGCUAGCUUGUAAAAGUUAUUUCCAAUUCUUAUGCCUACAGGGAAAAAAAAAAAAAACCACCAACCAACAACUUGGAGGCACAGAUCCUUAAAAGCAAAUGUCAAAUAAAACAUUUGAUUAAUAAUCUUAUCAUUUCUAACCCAGCCACCUUAUUUUGGAAGGCUGGUGAUUGAGAUCACUGUUAAUUGAAGAUGACGCCUUAAAAUUAGCCCUCUGCGGAGGUAUCUCAUUGAAUCAGGUCCUAAAGGAGUGAUAAUACAUCAAACAUCGUAUAUGAAAACAAAUAAACCUCUUCCCUGCAUAACUAAGAGCUACUUCUGCUGUUGGAACUGAAGCGUUAACAGUGCUGGAGUUAGACUGAGAGCUUGUAUUGCUGGUUUCUCUUUUUUUGCCUGCCAGCCCCAGCUUUUUCCCAUUCAGGCUGUGGUCACCACUGGCUUCCCCCGCGGGUGUGGGGCUGGUGGCCAUGCCCGAAGCCCUGCAGUGCUGCCUCCCCUUAGCUGAAGAACCUGAACCUGAAACUUUGCCACAGAAUAAAACAGAUGUUAACAAAAAAGCCACGCAGCCACCUCAAAGUAGCCCGGGUGCAGGAGCCGGGUGGUGGUGGUGGAAGAAAGGAGGGGGUGAGGAUGGCACUGGGGCCUCCAGCCAUCCCAGCAAUGCUGGCUUUAGCCAGUGGCAUUACCAGCCGGCACUUCUUGAAGUGCUAAAAGCUUUGGACACAGAUUACCAUGUGCAUAUUUCAAUUUCCCUUAAAUCCAGGGAGAUUUCCUCUUAGAGCACUCUCUCUCCCUCGCUCUUUUUUUUCCUCUCUCUCUUUUUUUUUUUUUUUUUUUUUUCUUUUCUUCAGCUAGAUUGUGCUUGAUGGGGACUGUUAACUGAAUGCAGCAUAUUAUAUAUUACUUCAAUAAAUCACCGCCAGCCGAAGCAUUCAAUAUCAUGCGGAGCAGUAAUCAGGGGAAGUCUUAAUCACUCUUUAAAUGGUUUGAAUUUAUGCCCUGCUUUCCACAGGCUCCCGUCACUGCUGGGAAGGCACGGCAGUGGCCCCCCAGGCCCUGGACCCGGUCCGGGUGUCUUGCUGGGUGAGGAGGUGCUGCUCUGCGGCCGCGUGAGCAGCUGCUCCUGCUGGGCUGAGCCCACACAGAUGUGCGGCAGGUCCUGACUUUGUUUCAAUGGGGAAAAAUAAAGCCUUUUAAUAUAGACUGCUCCUUUUCAAAGAAAUCAUCCAAAAAGAGCAAGGCCAGCUGUUGUAAUCCUCACUUUACACUGUUCUGUCCAUUUGCGUUUGGUCCAGGAGAUUAAAAACGUUUCCUGGAUUUUUGCGAGUGAGUGGGAGAAGGGGAGAGGGAGGGCUGUCUUCAAAGAAAACAACCAGCAACCCACAAAGUGCUAAGUCUGAUUUUUAAACAAACAGAUUUAUGACCGACGGCCCGACCUGCCGAGAGGCUCCGUGAAGGCAAAGCCCUCCGCUGGCGGAGGCGCCCGGUGUCAGCCCACCGGCAGGGAGGGCGGCAGCCUUCCUCCCCUGCACCGUCCUGCGCCGGCCUUCACCUUCCCCUCGCAGCAACCGUAGGCAGAUGUUCAUGAUGUCAUCUCUCCUGGCAAUGGGAGAAAAAGAGAGAGAGAAAAAAUACAAACUCAUAGCAGGAAACAAAUGCCCUUUUCUGGGGGGGAAUUUAACCAUUUUGGGUGCCCUCAUGCCCGUGAGCGUGGCACUGAGGCUCACCAGGGCCAUCGUGGGGCGGGAGGUGAGGUUAAUGGGCUCGUUAACUGCAUCUGGUGGGAGAGCCCUGCGCGGGCUGCGCCGGCUUCUCCAGCUCCGAAACACUCGGCAGGGCCCUCCAGCUGGAGAGCACGAGCCUCCCCCCGCCUUCAAAGCGCUCCCACCGCCGGGCCGUAAAUCACGGCUCUCGCAGUGGAAACUGGAACGGGACCCGAGCUGAGGCGAGGCGCAGCAGCUGAGACCCUUGAACAAUAGUCCUACACACAGGAAACUCGCCUAUAAUAGUGAUUUUGAGUUCCAAGGAGCUUUGGUUUCUGACUGUUGUUUUUUUUUUUCUUCCCCAACCCAGCCCCGUUUGGUUUUUCAUUCAGUUCCAUGUUGUUCGUGUCUCUUAAUAGGGCAUCUUUCAUUAUCAUUAUCCCUAAUAGUGGUUUAUUGUAUUAGUUACAGUUAAUUUAAAUGUUACCGAAGCAUUGAAAACAGAUUGCAGAUGUUUUGAAACAGAUGUUAUUUUAAUGUUAAAACAAAAUCAUGAAUAUUUAUAGGUCAUUAUUGCCUGGGUUGAAUUAGACUCUUUAAAUAGUAAUGUAUGGGCUUAACAUCUUUUGAAGGAAAUGCUCCAAAAAAAGGUGAAUGGAAAAACACUGUCAUACGAAGACGUGUAAAUCGUUUCUUCUGCCUUACUGACUUUUCCUUUAUGAAUGGUCAGAAUUAAUUACGAUUUUAUUACUAAACCAGGUACUAUUCCUGCUCUGUAACUGCAGUUACAGGACAAAGUUUUCAGCUCAAAAACACCUUUCCAGCUCUCCGUUUCAUAGAAAAGAGGCCCAUCAGCUCCCUGCAAGCAGACCUAAAGCUGGAGCAAUAUUUUGAGGUAGAGUCAUCAGUAUUAAAGCAAAAAUAAGGUGAAGAUGAUGCAAGCACACAACUCACUUGGUGUCAGUCUUUCCUACAGAAACACAAAGGGGGUUUGUUAAUGCCACAUGCAGGCUGCCUCUGUUUGAGUCAUAUUUCUCUCCUUAUGGAGAUGAAGUUAGUCUUUAAGGCAUCAGCUCAAAAUGGCCUUUCAUUCAUUACAAAGUUAUUUAGUUACGGGUAGGUAACUCCAAAUGACAUUUCUACAUCUCGCACUUUUUUAGUUGAUCCUAGCUGCUAAAUGACAUGGAGAGAGCGGCAGAGUAUGGUGGUGGAGUUCAGUGUGUUUUGGCUAAUUUUGGAUGGGGCCCAUGCUUCUGGAGUUGGAAAUUUGCCUCCAAGAUGAUGAGCUUGUGCACCUCCCUCUGGGAGAGCUGUGAAGUCGGGAAGUUAAAAAAAAAAAAAAGUUGGUGAAAAAUUAAAACCAAGAAGAAUGUAAGCACUGGGAUAUUUCUCUGCUCUCCAGAAGGACAUGCAAGCACUUCUGCUACCUCAGAUGAGUCGUGUCCUCUCUAGCUCAGUAGUACUGACUCUGGGGGUAGUGCUGGGGAUGGAGAGGCUGGUGGCAAGGGGACAGGCUAUCAGGCAGCCACCCACCCUUCCUACUGCACUUUGCUUGUGUCUGCAGGGAUGAUGUGCAGCAUUGAGCCUUUUUUUUUUUUUUUUUGACUUCAAAUUUACUAAUUUGGAGGAAAGCCUGAGUCCUCCUGAAGCUGGCAGGACUCCUUGUCUACGGGCACAAAAUCCCAGAGCAGAUGGGCACACAUUUCGGCUAAGCACAGCAGCAGUUGUUGAGCAUUAGGGUCUGUAAUCUCAUCCAGGAGCAUCCCAACAGCCGCCUCUGCUUCUCCUUCGGCCAAGGGGCGCGAGCAUCACCCCGUGCUGCUUGGGCUGCCUCCCGCUGCUCACAGCAUCACACUGCUGCCACUGCACACUGCAGCGUUGGGCCUCAAAAACUCAGGACCUGCGUUUUCCAGCAA